rnacentral:lncRNA from 1 species
AUCAGUUGGGCAGUUAGGCGGUUACUGCCCAAAUGACCAUAUUGCCCCCAUAAGAACCUCUAUAAAUAGAGGGCACCCCCCACUCAUUAAAGGCAAGUCAUUUGGAGAAGAAGGAUUCCUAGCGAAGCAGAGCUCUGCACACUUGAGUUCCGGUUCGGUUUCCCGCGGAGUUCCCCGCUUGGCGCUUGCUUGCGCGUCUUGGAGUACUGGUCGGGUUUCACCCCCAUCAGUUGGCGCCGUCUGUGACUCAAAGAUACUCACGACAAAAGCUCCUCGACUUUUUCGAAAAAAGUGAUCGACUUUUUUCCAAGUCGCCAG